rnacentral:lncRNA from 11 species
GGGCAAGGCAGAAAGAUUUUCAACACUGCAAGGGAUGCUGGUGGUUUUUAUGGACAUUGAAGAUUCUCUUCAGCAGAUGGAUCAGUCCUAUUGUGUAAUUGUCAUUUCAGCAAAAGGUGAUUUUUGCCACCGACUCCUCAGUGAUCAGAUACAGAGAGGUAAAUAUUUUCCGUAUCUUUGAUCACUU